rnacentral:rRNA from 1 species
GGCGAACGGGUGAGUAACACGUGGGUGAUCUGCCCUGCACUCUGGGAUAAGCCUGGGAAACUGGGUCUAAUACCGGAUAGGACCAUGCUUUAGUGUGUGUGGUGGAAAAUUUUUUCGGUGUAGGAUGAGCCCGCGGCCUAUCAGCUUGUUGGUGGGGUAAUGGCCUACCAAGGCGGCGACGGGUAGCCGGACUGAGAGGUUGGUCGGCCACAUUGGGACUGAGAUACGGCCCAG